GCGCACACAGCUGUAUACAAACUCCGUAUACGAGUUAUUGUAAGUGAUUGAAAAAGUCAGCACAACGAAAAUAAACUACACCUAAACUCGGUUUAUAUCUGACCCAAAUACAGUGCAGGUCAUAACUUCUUACCUGAAAUUCAGUUCACCUCACGCUCCUGCCUUCGCUUUCCCUGAUCCACGAUUGACCUCCGCGUUAGCAAACACCGGACGAUCGGCGGUAGCCUCACCGCCUUGUAUGUCUCGUUCGCGGCAUGUCCUUUC
ensembl:lncRNA